UACGGGAGGCAGCAGUGGGGAAUAUUGCACAAUGGGCGCAAGCCUGAUGCAGCCAUGCCGCGUGUAUGAAGAAGGCCUUCGGGUUGUAAAGUACUUUCAGUCGUGAGGAAGGUGUUAAGGUUAAUAACCUUAGCAAUUGACGUUAGCGACAGAAGAAGCACCGGCUAACUCCGUGCCAGCAGCCGCGGUAAUACGGAGGGUGCGAGCGUUAAUCGGAAUUACUGGGCGUAAAGGGCACGCAGGCGGUUAAUUAAGUUGGAUGUGAAAUCCCCGGGCUUAACCUGGGAAUGGCAUUCAAGACUGGUUAGCUAGAGUCUUGUAGAGGGGGUAGAAUUCCAUGUGUAGCGGUGAAAUGCGUAGAGAUGUGGAGGAAUACCGGGUGGCGAAGGCGGCCCCUGGGCAAAGACUGACGCUCAUGUGCGAAAGCGUGGGGAGCGAAACAGGGAUUAGAUACC
rnacentral:rRNA from 1 species